AGCCAUAUUUGGAUGAAGAAGUUUGUUCCAGUCUGACUUCUUAGCUCAACAUCAUCCAUGCAAUAAAGUUGAAGUGGAUGACUUUAAAAUCCCAGGGUUUAAACUUUUCUUUUAAUUUGGAAGCAUCCAAAAUUCUCAAAGAUUUCGGACUGAUGAUGAUGCAUUUCACUAGUAAUUUGAUAGAAAUGUUUGAGUCUCCUCCACAUAUUUCGAAGAAAAUCACAAGGAUUUACAAGAAUCAAGCUUUGAAUUGAAUGAGCUAGCAAAUCUACUCCCACAAUAACUUAUGAAAUUAAAGAUUUUGAUGUGAACCCAAAAUCUGAAAAGAUGACACGAAUUCAUGUAAAAAGUGAAACUUGGUUUAUGAUUGGCACUAGAGUAUUGUGUGAUAGAGUAUAUUAGGGUGUACCAGAGGUAUUUUUGAUAAUUAAAUAAGGUGUACUUAGUUAAUUUUACAUUUUGAUUAAAAUACUAGGAUGUACUCAAUUAAUUUUAAGGUUCGUUUAGCAACACUCAAAUAAAAAUAUCGUAGCUCGGCAACCCCUCUCUCCCUCUCUCACCCCAGGCACCUUCUC
rnacentral:lncRNA from 1 species